rnacentral:tRNA from 1 species
GCCCGGAUGGCGGAACUGGUAGACGCAAGGGACUUAAAAUCCCUCGAUGCUUUGCAUUGUGCGAGUUCGAUUCUCGCUCCGGGCACCA